AGAGUUUGAUCCUGGCUCAGGAUGAACGCUAGCGACAGGCCUAACACAUGCAAGUCGAGGGGCAGCGGAGAGGUAUCAAUACCUUUGCCGGCGACCGGCGCACGGGUGAGUAACACGUAUGCAAUCCACCUGUAACGAGGGGGAUAACCCGGAGAAAUCCGGACUAACUACCCCAUAAUAUGGGCGCUCCGCAUGGAGAGCCCAUUAAAGAGAGCAAUUUUGGUUACAGACGAGCAUGCGCUCCAUUACG
rnacentral:rRNA from 1 species